AGUGAACGCUGGCGGUAGGCCUAACACAUGCAAGUCGAACGGCAGCACAGUAAGAGCUUGCUCUUACGGGUGGCGAGUGGCGGACGGGUGAGGAAUACAUCGGCAUCUACUUUUUCGUGGGGGAUAACGUAGGGAAACUUACGCUAAUACCGCAUACGACCUACGGGUGAAAGCAUGGGAUCUUCGGACCUUGCGCGAUUGAAUGAGCCGAUGUCGGAUUAGCUAGUUGGCGGGGUAAAGGCCCACCAAGGCGACGAUCCGUAGCUGGUCUGAGAGGAUGAUCAGCCACACUGGAACUGAGACACGGUCCAGACUCCUACGGGAGGCAGCAGUGGGGAAUAUUGGACAAUGGGCGCAAGCCUGAUCCAGCCAUACCGCGUGGGUGAAGAAGGCCUUCGGGUUGUAAAGCCCUUUUGUUGGGAAAGAAAAGCAGCAGGUUAAUACCACGCUGUUCUGACGGUACCCAAAGAAUAAGCACCGGCUAACUUCGUG
rnacentral:rRNA from 1 species